CGUAUCCAAAGCUCAAAUGUGAUAAUAUUUUAUAUAUAUUUUUGAAAUACUUUUGUUACACGACUAGUAUUCUGGUAUUAGGUAACAUCACGUGAUUAAUUCAAACCAAUGAGACGACAGCUUUGGACGAGAGUCUGUAUAGCUAAUGAGCUUGCUUCACUGGUUUUGCCUUCACUGAGCGAGCGCCACUUUCUCAGCUAUCUCUUGAGGUAGGUCAAAUUUCCUCAUAAAAGUCUUAAAAUUUCACAGACAGACGGUGGAUUAAUCAAUUUGAUGAUUUUAAAUAUGUCGAUUGUUAAUUUAGAUGAGUGUAAUAUUACUUACGUUUAAACAAUAAAAAAAUAUAACGGAUUAUCUUCUGCUAUCAUUGUUUUCUGAGGUAAAUUAUGCGUUGGAAAAAAAACAAACGGAUAGUUCAAAUAAUUGUAGCCUAAGAAAUUGUGGCUAAAGCCCAUUUUUAUUGUUUAUAUGAUUUUAGUUUGAUAUAUUGUUAAUGUGAACCGUUAAACGGACGGACCGACCGAACAAUUUCAGUGAGGGAAAAGGUAACCGUUAACUUAAGUGGUUGUCAGACACUCAGGCGUCUGCCUGUUUUUGGUAACAAAAAUCAGCUUAACCGAGGUUAUAUGGAUGGUAGGAACAACCACUUAAGUUGUGGACUAACAUAUGCAAUUAUAUAUAAUAAAUGCAUGGUGUCGUCUAUAGAAGAAUAACAUAACGUUACGUUACUCGAAGCUACAGUGACAUCUGCAGGCGAGGCUUUACUUAAAUGCCUUGUUUGUUCAUGAGUUUUUUACGUGUUUCAUAUUUUAUCAUAGUUUUUUACGUUCAUUUUGAAGUUAUGGUAACUUAACUUAUUUGUUUAAGAUACGUUUGGUAGGCGCGAACCCGGGAGGUCGCGCCCAGCUUGAGCUUCCGCAUUAUUAACACUGUUAGCUUCACUGUUAUUUGCGAUAGACGAAAAAUGUUUGAAUAAAGAGCCUAGGUAGGGGGAAGUACGCAAAAUACAUGGGUUUUUUCUAGUGUAACGUUUAUUAAUAUGUUGGAGGCAAUUCCUCAAAAUAUACUUUAUAAAAUAUACUAUUGUAAACAGAAUAUGGUUGGUAUAUCAACCCUUAUGAUUUGAUAAUAAUGUAUGUUUUUUUUCUCUUCCCCCUGUACUUUUGUUACAUCAUUUUUUUGCUGUCUAGACAUUUUUGUGGUAAGUCAUUUAUAUAACAAUCUCUGUUGCAACAUAAUACUUUUUUUCUGAACAGUUAACCUUGCACAUGAUAUUUAAAUAGUAAUGUUUAAUUUUUCUUUCUUUUGCUCUUUUGAAAACAUUUAACUGCUUUAGCUAAACCUCAGCCAAAUUCCUGGUUUUGCUGGGCAACAGCACCUAUUUCAUACAAUUUUGUUAUAGCGAACCCAAAGGCUCUUUUCAGAGCCAUCCACAUUGCGUCACUGAUUGGACAUCUAAUUCAUCUUUCAGCUUGCCUCUUAAAAACUGCCAGGAAACCCAAAAAAUCACCGAUUCAACUAAAAAAACAAAGCCUACAAUUUCUACCCAAAAAAAACGACCCAAUUUUUUACCCCACCCAACCAAUCUGUUGCCCUAACCCCCAUACACCGACUUUCCCCAAAACAGAACGCCCUUUUAACUUUUUGCUUUGACAGAAAAAGUGAGAACAGAACUACCUACAGCUCCAGUGUGCCCUGCUGCCUUGAGUGUCUUCACAAAGCAACGUUGAUUAGAGGACUGCGUUGGGAAAUCAACACCAUCAACACACACAAUAAUUUACUAUAGUUUUAAAAUUACAUAAUUUCCUAUAGUCUUUUAGACUGCUUAUAAUAGAUAAUACACAUUACAGUACUUUUAAAAGUCAUUAAUAUAUCAGUAAAAAAAAAUUGUUUUUGAAGUUCAUCUUUGAAACGUAUUACAUUUAUAUCUGAGUCUUUUCACAUUUGUCUAUACUCUACUAAUUAAUUGCAUUAGUAAUAUUGCCUUUGGUUAUCAUUUCUGUACAAUAUUGGGGUUAACAGUUCAACAGUUCCAUUGCUAUAGUCUUGUGUGUUUGUAUAUCUAAUUUCUUGACUGUUUUAACGGUGAAAUUUUAGUACAGUACUUUAAUAUAUCAGUAAAAUAUUCUAAGUUUGACUGUUGUUGUAACUGCUAUUUGAAUAGACUACAUUUAAAGGUCAUUAAAAUAUUUUGGUUUGCCAAGUUCCUCUUUGAAUCUUACCACAUUGUAACAUUUACCUUUAUUAAUUGGUUGCAUUUCUGAUAUUGCUUUUGGUUAACAUUUUUGUACAAUAUUGGGGUUGACAGUAUAACAGUUCAAUUGCUAUAGUUUUGUGUGUUUGUAUAUUUAAUUUGUUGACUUGUUACUAAAAUUUCAGUCUUGUACUUUAAAAGCUAAUUAAUAUAUCAGUAUUAUAUUUACAGUUUGACUCUUGUUGUAAUUGUUAUUUGAGUGCAGUACAUUUAAAGGUAAUUAAAAUAUCAGUAAAGUAUUUUGGUUUGGCAAGUUCAUAUUUGAAUCUUACCACGUUGUAACAUUUGCCUUUACUAAUUGGUUGCAUUACUGGCAUUGCCUUUAGUUAACAUUUUAUAAUUCAGUGAAAUACAAAGGCUUGACGGUAUAACAGUUACAUUGUGUGUAUGUAAAUACAGUAGGUUGACACUUGUUACUGUGGUAUACUAGCAUAACGUAUAAUAAGCAUUAAUAUUCAUUGAGUGGGUCUUUGUAUUUGUUAUUAAGGUUUUAUCCGGAAAAUUUGCACUUGUUUAACAUACGAAAGGUACUUUGCUAUAAACAGAUCUUUAGAUUUCUAACACCUGUUCCAUCGUCAUGCCACGUAAAGGUAAACGAAGUGAAGCCCAGAAGCAGCGCAGAAAGGUAGAAGCUUCACUGUGCAUUAACUCCGUGUCAAGUGCGAGUGACGUAAGCCCAGACGUGCUCUCUGUUACGGCGUCCCACUGUCAAAGUGACCCGAGGUACGGUAUUUAUUCGAGAGGGCAACAAUGCACGUGCAAUUCCUUAAUGUUUCUCGCGGUGCA